UGAACGCUGGCGGCAUGCUUUACACAUGCAAGUCGAACGGUAACAGGUUAAGCUGACGAGUGGCGAACGGGUGAGUAAUGCAUCGGAACGUGCCCGAUCGUGGGGGAUAACGCCGCGAAAGCUGCGCUAAUACCGCAUACGAUCUGAGGAUGAAAGCGGGGGACCGUAAGGCCUCGCGCGAUCGGAGCGGCCGAUGUCAGAUUAGGUAGUUGGUGGGGUAAAGGCUCACCAAGCCGACGAUCUGUAGCCGGUCUGAGAGGACGACCAGCCACACUGGGACUGAGACACGGCCCAGACUCCUACGGGAGGCAGCAGUGGGGAAUUUUGGACAAAGGGCGCAAGCCUGAUCCAGCAAUGCCGCGUGCAGGAAGAAGGCCUUCGGGUUGUAAACUGCUUUUGUACGGAGCGAAAAGGCUCUCUCUAAUACAGGGGGCUCAUGACGGUACCGUAAGAAUAAGCACCGGCUAACUACGUG
rnacentral:rRNA from 1 species